AGUUUGCUUAUUAUUGUAACUUGAUUGGUGCAGGAUGUUCGCCUUUCAUGAUUUUGCAUCAGAGACUUUGAUUUUGAUUUUGCACAAAAUGUUACUUCCUUGCUGCUGAUCAUAAGUUGGGAGUAAUAUUUGAUUGCUAAUGGAUCGUAAGGAUACUUCAGGAUUCGUUAGUGGGGGUGGGAUGUGUUCUUGUAGACACAUCUAACCCUAGUUUACAACUAACUUUUCUUAAGCCCGGAAGUCAGGUUGACUGUUCUUUUUCAAUUGAGAUUUGGUUCAAAUAGAAGUUUUUAUAACAGCUAUUAGUUUAUGGAUCCCAGAUUCCGUUAUGUGGGGUUUACUGUGAACCCUCAGUUAAGUGCAUUCAAGAAUCUGGGCAAAUCCAUCGCAGUUGGUGAAGCUGGAGUUGGAGGUAGUUAUUGUGCUGAUACCACCUUACGGCUUGAUUCAAUUGGCUCUUCAGUUCCGUCCAUCCCUGCCCCAAAAGGAAUCAAACGAAAAUGGAGUUCAAUUGGUGGAUCUAACGAUCAGCCAAUUGGUUCAUCUUUGUCUCUACGUUUAGGACAUUCAUCAAGUUCCUCGGAUAGCAAGGGGAGCUCAGGCGCUGCAUGCACUUCAAUGUCUUCAGCAAGAGAAAAUGAUGAAGAGUCCUCGAUGGACCUGGACUUGGACUUUAGUCUCCAUCUUGGUAGUGAGAAGACUUCAAGCUCUAGAAAGUCUGCUCACCCUGAGGCCAAAAAACUUGCCAAAGGGCUUGCAGUUGAUCUGGAACUUAGUCUCUCUAGUGGUGCUGCUGAAUCUGAUGUCACUACUGUGCAUUUGCUCUCCACUUCACCACAAAGUAUCAUGAAGGCACCGCAGGCGAUGGCUGGAGCUUUUCACACUGAUGAAGUAUCAACAGCUAUACAUUGGAAGACUAGCAACAUUUUCCAUCCAUUACGAACUCCACAGGAAACUGAGGCUAGUUACUUAUUGAACCAGGCUGCAACACAAAUCAAGCUAGCUACAGUCUCCCCCGAUCUGUCGUCAAGUAUAAUCACAAAUUCAAAGAGCUCAGUCACCUGUACUUCCGGGUUAACAAACCAGCAGCAGCGUAGCAGUAGUACUAAACUGUGUCAGUUUAAGGGAUGCGUAAAAGGAGCAAGAGGUGCUUCUGGGCUUUGCAUUGCCCACGGUGGGGGCCGCAGGUGUCAGAAACCAGGCUGCCACAAGGGAGCCGAGGGUCGGACUGCAUUUUGCAAAGCCCAUGGGGGUGGUCGUCGGUGUGAAUUCCUAGGUUGUACAAAGAGCGCGGAAGGACGCACCGACUUUUGCAUUGCACAUGGGGGUGGACGUCGUUGCAGUCAAGAAGGAUGCAGCCGCGCUGCCAGAGGGAAGUCUGGAUUAUGCAUUCGGCAUGGUGGGGGGAAGAGAUGCCAGCAUGAGGGCUGCACCAAAAGUGCAGAAGGACUCUCUGGCCUUUGCAUUUCACAUGGAGGUGGCCGGCGCUGUCAGUACCCCCAAUGCACUAAAGGAGCCCAAGGAAGUACCAUGUUUUGCAAGGCACACGGUGGUGGUAAGCGUUGUACCUUUGAAGGGUGCACUAAGGGGCAGAGGGGAGCACAGCUUUCUGUAAGGGUCAUGGUGGUGGGAAGAGAUGUUCAUUCCAAGGAAAUGGGCUCUGCCCGAAGAGUGUUCAUGGGGGGACACUCUUCUGCGUGGCCCAUGGUGGUGGCAAGAGGUGUGCUGUGUCAGAGUGUACCAGGAGUGCAAGGGGAAGAACUGAUUUUUGUGUACGCCAUGGUGGUGGAAAAAGAUGCAAAGUUGAAGGCUGUGGGAAAAGUGCUCAGGGAAGCACCGAUUUCUGCAAAGCCCAUGGUGGAGGGAAGAGAUGCUCUUGGGGUCAGCCUGAUUCUGAAUUUGGCCAAGGUGAUGGUCUCUGUAACUCAUUUGCCAGAGGGAAGACUGGACUUUGUGCAUCUCAUGGUGCUCUCGUUCAAGACAAAUGCGUCCAUGGUGGUGCCACUCUUGGGACUAUGGUCCUGGAUCUAGAGCCAAACCAGUCUGAGAAAAUGAAGGAGAUUGUCAAUGCGGAAGACAUCUGUUUUGAUGUCACGAAAAUGCAGAGUAUUGGUAUGACAUCUGGCGAUGACCAUCACAUGAAAUAUCUUGGAUUUAACCAACCCAAUAUUCCAGUCGCAGGCAGCUCAUCAUCAGUUUCUGAAGGAAGGGUGCACGGAGGAGGUUUGAUGGCAUUGCUAGCAGGUGGUUCUGGCCGUACCUCAAACAACAGCAAGGAACCAGUUCCUGCAUCUGAGCCAGGGAGUUCUUUCAUAGUCUCUAAGAACUGGAUGUAAGAUGUAUCACUCUAUUUCUCAAUUUGGUUUGCAGGCCUGCAGCGCUCCACCGCUAUGUUUGUGUCCUUUUCAUUUUAGUUUCUUCACUCUUUCUUAUGUUAUAUGGGUUUGAACUGGAACUUGUACUGCUAAAUGUAUCUGUAUCAAUAAGGGGAGAAACCCCACUAGGGUCAUUGGUAUUUGUACAUAGCUUUUUUUUCAUGUAACAUUUGGUCUUGUGAAUAUUUC